rnacentral:misc_RNA from 1 species
GAUGCUGGUCGGUCUCUGGACUUGCAUGUGCUCAGUUUGCGCUCAUCCAUCUCACACCUGUGCACUUACUGAAGAGAGAGAGGGAGAGGGAGAGAGGUUUAUAUGUUUAUUCAUUUAUUCGUGUAUUCGACUCCAAGCCCUCUUCUUCUCUUUUGACUUUAUAAUAAACUGUAUAUUGUUUGUGUAUAAUGCAAUAUGCUCGUUGAAUGUGAAAUAACUUUUCAACUUUCGACCUCGGAUCUCUUGGCUCUCGGAUCAAUGAAGAAAACUGCGAAAUGCAAUGAGAAUUGUGAAUUGCAGAGUUCCAUGAAUCCUCUAAUCUUUGAUCGCACCCUGUGCUCCUUGGAAUACCAAGGAGGAUGCCUGGUUGAGUGACUUGCUAAUCUCAAUUCUUUGUUUUUUGUAACUGAUAAUUGUGGAUUUUGGAAUUGGGGACUGCUGGCGGAUUCCCGCUUCUCUUGAAUGCGUUAUCUGGCCUUUUGCUCUGGUGAUUGGUGUAAUAAUUUCCAACAUUCACCGUUGACACUUGAUACUACAGUCAGCUUCUAAUCAUCGUGUAAUGAUACAAACUCUUAUUUUUGACCUUUGCCCGCAUAACAAGUAGGACUACCCGCUGAUCUUAAUCAUAUCAGGAAGCGGAAG